rnacentral:rRNA from 1 species
UACGUAGGGUGCGAGCGUUGUCCGGAAUUAUUGGGCGUAAAGAGCUUGUAGGUGGCUCGUUGCGUCGGGAGUGAAAACCUGCGGCUUAACCGCAGGCCUGCUUCCGAUACGGGCGAGCUAGAGUUCGGCAGGGGAGACUGGAAUUCCUGGUGUAGCGGUGGAAUGCGCAGAUAUCAGGAGGAACACCGGUGGCGAAGGCGGGUCUCUGGGCAUGUCCUGACGCUGAGGAGCGAAAGUGUGGGGAGCGAACAGG